rnacentral:rRNA from 1 species
GUGUCAGCCGCCGCGGUAAGACGUAGGGGGCAAGCGUUGCUCGGAAUCACUGGGCUUAAAGGGCGCGUAGGCGGUUGUGUAAGUCCAGGGUUGAAGGCCCCGGCUCAACCGGGGAAAGGCCUUGGAGACUGCAUGACUUGAGUGAGCGAGGGGAGGGCGGAAUUCCUGGUGUAGCGGUGAAAUGCGUAGAUAUCAGGAGGAAGGCCUGUGGCGAAGGCGGCCCUCUGGCGCUAAACGGACGCUGGGGCGCGAAAGCGGGGGUAGCAAACAGGAUUAGAUCCCCUGGUAGUCCAUGCCCUAAACGGUGGGCACUAGGUGUGGGGCUCGAGAGGGUUCCGUGCCGAAGGGAAACCAAUAAGUGCCCCGCCUGGGAAGUACGGCCGCAAGGCUGAAACUUAAAGGAAUUGACGGGG